rnacentral:tRNA from 22 species
GGACCGGUAGCCUAGCUAGGAUAGGGCGGCGGCCUCCUAAGCCGCAGGUCCGGGGUUCAAAUCCCCGCCGGUCCGCCA